rnacentral:tRNA from 1 species
GGAGAGGUACCGAAGUGGUCGUAACGGGGCCGCCUCGAAAGCGGCUUGGCGGGUUUAUCCCUGCCACGUGGGUUCGAAUCCCACCCUCUCCGCCA